rnacentral:rRNA from 1 species
GAAGUGGAAGUCGUAACAAGGUCUCCGUAGGCGAACGUGCGGAGGAUCAGUUCCAAUCUGUGUUUUUAUGGGACUUCAAAAAUCCAUAUCCGCCUUGUGUGCAMUSUGCAUCUGUUUGGGGGCUGACGGCUGUCAAAAGCCGUGUGGUCACCUUUGGGAUAUACAUCUACUCACAACUUUAGUGAUUUUGUUCUGAAACAUAUUAUGAAUACUUAAUUCAAAAUACAACUUUCAACAACGGAUCUCUUGGCUCUCGCAUCGAUGAAGAACGCAKYGAAAUGGCGAUACAUAAUGUGAAUUGCAGAAUUCAAUGAAUCAUCGAAUCUUKGAACGCAUAUUGCGCUGCUCUGGCAUUCCGGAGAGCAUGCUCUGUCUGAGUAUCACCAAACGCCUCAACCUCCAUAUCUUUUUUAAAAUGGGAGUUGGACUUGAUUGAUCCCAACGCUUUUCCWCUCCGAAAAGGGGCGGGUUACUUGAAAUGCAUGGGCACCUGGACUUUUCUCUGACCUAUACAGCAUAUCUAUGUAGUGUGCCUAAMAAACAGAUUAUUACCUUUGCUGCUGCUCACAKAAAGGAGAUUAGUUCUUGGCCUGACUGAUGCAGGAUUCACAAAGACAGGCUUCGCCCGACUUUGUAAACUCCAUCUCAAAUCAAGAAACACUACCCACUGAACUUAAUCAUAUCAAUAAACGAAGG